GCCACUGUGAUGUAGUGGUUUGAGCGUUGGACUAGGACUCUGGAGACCAGGGUUCAAAUCCCUGCUCAGCCA